UCAGUGGGACAGACUCGGAAAGCGUCCCAGUGCCAGCAGCGGUGAUUUACACCAUCGCCGGCCGCUGCUGGAGGUAGCCCUACUCCCGAGAAUCCUACUUUAUAACUGAUGUUUGGUCUUAGGCAAUGAGAGAAGUAUUGACUUGUCUAAAGAGCAACGUUGCCCUGCAAAUGCAGAAAUCUACUGCAAGUUCUGGACAUCACGAAUAAUUCUCCAUGCCAAGAAACAAGCAUUCCAAAAAUAGAUCGAUAUGUGGAUGUAAGCCAAGGGGAGUCCAUUAAGAAUGUUUCCCUCAUUCAUGAUCCAAGGGUGAGACAAUCAAACAGUCAAUCAAUCAAGCUUUCCGAGGGAAACAAAGUGUUGCUGGACACAGUAAAAAUUACAAUACAUGUUUCAUUUACAUAGAUGGAAUACUUUGCAGAUGGUUGAAAGAGAUUCCCUCUCUUUAACAUCAUCCUAGUUCAAGCAUAUGGAAUUUAUGGAUAAUGUUGGGUGUCAGGAAGUGGUUCUACUAUAUUAGUUUAAGAAGAAUGUUUACUGGACCCAUUUAUUACUCGGUCAUUAAAAAGAAGGACAAGCAAUGUCAUUUUAUGGUGCUAUAUAUCACUCUGUAAGUCAGACAAAAUUUCAAGGUAGUUUUGCAUCCAUGAA